UGACGCUGGCGGCAGGCUUAACACAUGCAAGUCGAGCGGAAACGAGAAUAGCUUGCUAUUCGGCGUCGAGCGGCGGACGGGUGAGUAAUGCUUGGGAACAUGCCUUGAGGUGGGGGACAACAGUUGGAAACGACUGCUAAUACCGCAUAAUGUCUUCGGACCAAAGGAGGGGAUCUUCGGACCUUUCGCCUUUAGAGUGGCCCAAGUGAGAUUAGCUAGUUGGUGAGGUAAAGGCUCACCAAGGCGACGAUCUCUAGCUGGUUUGAGAGGAUGAUCAGCCACACUGGGACUGAGACACGGCCCAGACUCCUACGGGAGGCAGCAGUGGGGAAUAUUGCACAAUGGGGGAAACCCUGAUGCAGCCAUGCCGCGUGUGUGAAGAAGGCCUUCGGGUUGUAAAGCACUUUCAGUCGUGAGGAAAGGUUUGUAGCUAAUAUCUGCAAGCUGUGACGUUAGCGACAGAAGAAGCACCGGCUAACUCCGUGCCAGCAGCCGCGGUAAUACGGAGGGUGCGAGCGUUAAUCGGAAUUACUGGGCGUAAAGCGUGCGUAGGCGGUUUCUUAAGCGAGAUGUGAAAUCCCGGGGCUCAACCUCGGAACUGCAUUUCGAACUGGGUGACUAGAGUACUGUAGAGGGUGGUGGAAUUUCCAGUGUAGCGGUGAAAUGCGUAGAGAUUGGAAGGAACAUCAGUGGCGAAGGCGGCCACCUGGACAGAUACUGACGCUGAGGCACGAAAGC
rnacentral:rRNA from 1 species